rnacentral:rRNA from 1 species
AACGAACGCUGGCGGCAUGCCUAACACAUGCAAGUCGAACGAUACCUUCGGGUCUAGUGGCGCACGGGUGCGUAACGCGUGGGAACCUGCCCUUAGGUUCGGAAUAACUCCCCGAAAGGGGUGCUAAUACCGGAUAAUGUCUUCGGACCAAAGAUUUAUCGCCUUUUGAUGGGCCCGCGUUGGAUUAGCUAGUUGGUAGGGUAAAAGCCUACCAAGGCGACGAUCCAUAGCUGGUCUGAGAGGAUGAUCAGCCACACUGGGACUGAGACACGGCCCAGACUCCUACGGGAGGGAGAAGUGCAGAAUAUUGGAAAACGGGGGAAAGCCUAAUACAGCAAUGCCGAGGGAGUAAUGAAGGCCUUAGGGUUGUAAAGCUCUUUUAACCAGGCUGAUAAUGACGGUACCGGGAGAAUAAGCACCGGCUAACUACGUG